rnacentral:lncRNA from 1 species
GUGAGGCGGUGGACUGGUUCGGCUCCGGGGUCGCAGGCAUGGCAUACCACGGCCUCACUGUGCCUUUGAUCGUGAUGAGCGUGUUCUGGGGCUUCGUGGGCCUCCUCGUGCCCUGGUUUAUCCCCAAGGGUCCUAACCGGGGAGUUAUCAUCACCAUGUUGGUGACCUGUUCCGUUUGCUGCUAUCUCUUGUCACAGCUAGAAGCCUUCUAGAUACAGAAUCACCUGCACACCGACCUCCUUCCUCGACAGCCUACUUCGGCCAUUACCUGCCUUACACUUGAAGGCCUUCCUCUGCAUACAGUAUUUUUUCUCCUUCACCUUUUUU